GACGAGCCUCACGAACGUUAUUCGGAAUUACUGGGCUUAAAGGGUGCGUAGGCGGCGCGGAAAGUUGGGUGUGAAAUCCCUCGGCUCAACCGAGGAACUGCGCCCAAAACUACCGUGCUCGAGGAAGAUAGAGGUGAGCGGAACUUACGGUGGAGCGGUGAAAUGCGUUGAUAUCGUAAGGAACACCCGUGGCGAAAGCGGCUCACUGGGUCUUUUCUGACGCUGAUGCACGAAAGCUAGGGGAGCAAACGGG
rnacentral:rRNA from 1 species